UGGGGCUAUGUAGAAUAGAUAUUAGUUCAUUUUUGUAAGAUAUUGGUAAAAUAGAUUAAUAGUCCAUAGAAUAAUCAGUUUAGGAGGACGGAUGAUUGAUUCAAUUAUUAAAAGCGAUUAUUAUAGGAUUACGAUUAGAAUCUGGAAAUCAGUAGCAAUUAUAUAGGAGUUGUAGAAGUUUGUUGGAGUGCCAAACUAUGAUAGUCAUGAGCCGGGAUUAAGCUUGGUGCUUCUUCUUUGUUUCUUUUGUUUUCUUUGUUGUUGAAGAAUAAUGGAUAGUUUUUGAAUACUGAGAAGUGAAUUUGUGGAAUAAAUCAAAGAUUGAUUUAUGAGUUAUUGAUUAUGUAAUUGGAGUACUAAGUGAUUGAAUUAUAUGAGAAGUUAUUGGAAGAUUGAUUAUGGAUGGAAGAUUAUGAUUGUUGUUUAUUAAAAGUUGUGUAUGUGUGGUUCAACAGAGGAAGUCUGUGAUUACAGGAAUUCUAUGAAUUUAGAUUGGUUGGAGUGAAGUCUGUUAUUUCUAGUGUUGGAUGGAAUUUAUUGAGUUUUGAGUGGUCUUUUGAGAGUGCAAGGUUACACAUUGUGGUUAUCAGUUGAUGAAGGAGUAUUAUUACUGGGAAGAAGCAUUGUAGUAUUUCUUAGUAUUUUAGUGGUUCGGAAUAUAGUUAAUUGUGUGACUCUAAGAAGUAAAAGUCAUGCGCUUAGUCUUUCCUUGUGUUCGAAUUCCUCUAUACAAGUUUAUUCUAGAAGGAAUUGUAGAAUAAGUAAAACGACAAUCACAACGACAUUGACUUUAUCAAGCAAAAGCCAAAAAUAAUUAGAGUUGUGGUACUUUGACAAUCAAGAGAGGCGGAGAGAAGAUGGUAUUAUAAAUGUACCUAGUAUACUAUCAUGGAGAAUCUCAAAUGUAAGCAUCUGAAUUGACAUCUGAUGAUGAGCUCAGUUUUGAUGAAGACGCCGUUGUAUCAAAAAAGGGAGCAUCUUUCAAGACAACUUAGCACCAUGGGAUAAUGUAUCAAUGUGGAGGAUUGAAAGAAUAUUUGAUAUAUCCACCAAAUAUGGAAAAUUUUGAUCAUGUUAUUACAGAUUGCAUAAAUAAAUAUGAUGUGUAUUGGAUCAGUGAAUUGGAAACAGAUUUGAGUA
rnacentral:lncRNA from 1 species